rnacentral:rRNA from 1 species
CAGAGGGGGCAAGCGUUGUUCGGAAUUACUGGGCGUAAAGGGCGCGUAGGCGGCCUUCUAAGUCGAACGUGAAAUCCCCGGGCUCAACCCGGGAACUGCGUCCGAUACUGGAAGGCUUGAAUCCGGGAGAGGGAUGCGGAAUUCCAGGUGUAGCGGUGAAAUGCGUAGAUAUCUGGAGGAACACCGGUGGCGAAGGCGGCAUCCUGGACCGGCAUUGACGCUGAGGCGCGAAAGCCAGGGGAGCAAACGGGAUUAGAUACCCCGGUAGUCCUGGCCCUAAACGAUGAAUGCUUGGUGUGGCGGGUAUCGAUCCCUGCCGUGCCGAAGCUAACGCAUUAAGCAUUCCGCCUGGGGAGUACGGUCGCAAGGCUG